rnacentral:rRNA from 1 species
UUCCGGUUGAUCCCGCCGGACCCGACUGCUAUCAGAGUGGGACUAAGCCAUGCGAGUCAACAUAGCAAUAUGUGGCAUACGGCUCAGUAACACGUAGUCAACAUGCCCAGGGGACGUGGAUAACCUCGGGAAACUGAGGAUAAACCGCGAUAGGUCAUCACUUCUGGAAUGGGUAAUGACUUAAACCUAUAUGGCCCCUGGAUUGGACUGCGGCCGAUCAGGCUGUUGGUGAGGUAAUGGCCCACCAAACCUGUAACCGGUACGGGCUCUGAGAGGAGGAGCCCGGAGAUGGGCACUGAGACAAGGGCCCAGGCCCUAUGGGGCGCAGCAGGCGCGAAACCUCUGCAAUAGGCGAAAGCUUGACAGGGUUACUCUGAGUGAUUUCCGUUAAGGAGAUCUUUUGGCACCUCUAAAAAUGGUGCAGAAUAAGGGGUGGGCAAGUCUGGUGUCAGCCGCCGCGGUAAUACCAGCACCCCGAGUGGUCGGGACGUUUAUUGGGCCUAAAGCAUCCGUAGCCGGUUCUACAAGUCUUCCGUUAAAUCCACCUGCUUAACAGAUGGGCUGCGGAAGAUACUAUAGAGCUAGGAGGCGGGAGAGGCAAGCGGUACUCGAUGGGUAGGGGUAAAAUCCGUUGAUCCAUUGAAGACCACCAGUGGCGAAGGCGGCUUGCCAGAACGCGCUCGACGGUGAGGGAUGAAAGCUGGGGGAGCAAACCGGAUUAGAUACCCGGGUAGUCCCAGCUGUAAACGAUGCAGACUCGGUGAUGAGUUGGCUUAUUGCUAACUCAGUGCCGCAGGGAAGCCGUUAAGUUUGCCGCCUGGGGAGUACGGUCGCAAGACUGAAACUUAAAGGAAUUGGCGGGGGAGCACCACAAGGGGUGAAGCCUGCGGUUCAAUUGGAUUCAACGCCGGG